CUUCUUCGUAACAUAGUCGAUAUGUUGCUGAGAUGUGAAAUAAGGACAUGAAUAUCUGUUCUCCUUUUAGAUCAAGCAGUAAUAUACCCGAUAUCUAUUUAGAGAGGAUUUUAUCGCUCCUUUGGUGACAUUGAUAGAAAUUGUCAGCAACAAUAAAGGAAAGUAAACUCGAAGUGCUUUUCAUUUCUCAAUUACAAGAGUUCUUAAAUAGAUAAAAGCUAUAAUAACAAAACACGCUGUUAAUCCUAAUUAUUUUGAUCUAAACUCACUCCACUAAUCCUCUAGCCUAAACAAUAGGAAACAACUUAUUUCACUUCCAAACAAUAGCAACAAAACAAAACACUACCCCACAAUUAUAGNNNNNNNNNNNNNNNNNNNNNNNNNNNCGAAAAUGGAGAAUCGUUGAAGGCUUGGAUCAUUUCAUUUAAUAUUUAAUCUAUUUAUUUAAAUAAUUUUUUUAAAAUAUAUUUAUUUCAUAUCUAUAUGUAUUAGUACUCCAAUUUUAUUUGCUAUUUAUUUUAUAUUCUAUAAAUGCGUUAAAAGUAGUUAAAAACAAAGAAAUUAUGGAUCAAAAUUCUAGAAAUUAAUUGAUUUUUCAAACUGAACCUUGAUGUAUAAAUAUUAACAGGAUAAUGUUUACAACAAAACAUCUAGCAUUUAUUAAAAGCCGCUGGCCCAUGGGCUGUGCAAUGUAGGUUGGGUCAGCUUAUGGGGCCAAACGUUAAUAGUAAGUAAUCACUAUUUACUAUUAUUUAGAAUUUAGCCGCCUUCACUCUUGGCAGCGGCAAUCGUCUUCUCCUUUGUAAUGCAUACCUUAGUAACUGCAAUCUCAUUCGCCAAUAUAAUAUUCAAAGUUUAACCAAUCACUGUUGGAAUAAAUAUUUGGUUAAUAUUUCUGUUUAGCUAGUUAUAUUAUUGCUCCUUAAUUGUUUAUUAAUAUCUCUAUUUGAUUUGAAUUGUCAUGUAAAAAGUUAUGCAGUUUCGCAAUUGUUAGGAUUUUUUUUUUGUGAAUUUGAGACUUGAUUAGCAAGUAGAAACACCACGGAAUCAUUCAGUAUAAUGUUUUAUAAGAAAAGUGGAUUUAAUUCUUGUGCUCUUUUGUGAACAAUGAAAUUAGUUUCUAGUGUCACACCCUUUUUCCAACUCCGAAAAGAUUUGAUUUUAAGUUCGAAAGAGUUUUAUUAUUAAGGUGACAAAAAUGAAAAAUUUGUUUCGAAAAAAAAAAAAGGACUAUUUACAUUAUUAUUUUUUCUUAUUCAAAAUCGCCACUUGGCAUAAUCUGGUGUGCCAAGUCACCUUUGGAAAAUCCUUUUCGAAACGGUUUGACUCUAAAAACUGAUCCGCGAACAGAGAUUCCGGCUAAGAAAUUCUGUUGACCGAGGGGAAGGUGUUAGGCACCCCUCGAUCCCGUGGUUCGACCACGGUCGCUUGGUGGAGCGUAUCGACUAAUUUGACAUUACAAAUGUACAAACCACAUAAACACACAAAAUAAGCAAACAAACAAAUCACACAAAAUUCAAAACAGACCAAAAUAAUGUUCAGUCCAAAUUAUACAAUCCAAAAUAAAAGAGAUGCUGAAAUAUAAAACCUAUUCUAUUCUAAACUAAUCCUAAACUAAACUCCGAAAUGGAUUAAAGAAAAGGACCUCAAUAGAACAUUCUCGUAGAUAAUAAAGAAGUCCGAAACCGAAAUCCUCGAACAAAGAACCCCAACGACGAACACGCCAAAUCAAUAAACCGAGAUCACCGACCGAGCAAAUUUCAACCCAGAAUAAGACCUCAAUGUGAAAACCAAAAUCACGAAUAUUGAUAUGACUUAGUCGCGGAAACCCCCAGAAAGCAAUAUCGAACGAAUCCCGCAACAGACAAAACCCGAAACACCCUAAAACUCUAAUAAAAGAACUGAACCCGAUAGAAAUCAAGCUCAGGCGAGCUGACAGCGACAAAACCAGUUGGAAUAGACCAGAUUCCAGCUAGGUCUCGUCUCGAUAUCGAAAGAAAAUAAGGGAUUUUUCAGCGAUUUAUGACUGAUUCGGCCCAAAAAUGAUGACGGACAUCAAUUCCGAUGCGGAUAUCAACAGAAAACACGAAAAAGAAUCGGAUUUCUCCCUGUUUUCAGAUCUCUUUGCCAAAUCUCCAUCUAUUACCCCUCCAUUUUUCGUCUCUCCCUUACUAAGUGUGUGUGUGCAAGUGUUUUCUAGCUAGAGCAAGUGUAUAUGUGUGUGUGAAUCGUGAGGUUUGUGUGUGCAUUAAUGAUGGUUUCUCGUGAGUGAGAUCUGCUAUGGUGAGGAUGAUGGAUCGUAUAUGGGUGAAGUAUGGUGAAUGGAAAAUAUUAGUGAGGGUGUCUGUGAGUAUGCUGGUUCAUGGAAGAAAAAUGAGAAUCCCUGGUUAGUGUGUUGUGAAGAUUCGUGUCAAAGAGAAGAAGGAUUUUCUCCCCAUUGCUCUGUGUGUUUUCUCCCUUUUCUUCCUCUCCCUCUCGCAGCUCUCUCUCUCUCAUAGAUUUUUCUCCGAUCGUGUGGGAUUUAGUGAUUAUGCGAAGAAGAAAAGGAAACAAAAACAGAGUUCAAAAAAAUGGCCAUCCCCUGUAUUUUUGUGAUCUGUGAGAGGAAAACCAAAUGAAGAAGAAGAAGCCCCCCAAAAAUUCUCGAUGGUGUGUGUAUUUAUUUUCUUGUGAAAUUGUGGAGAAGGACCCCUAUUUUUUGUGAAUUGUGUAUGUGUAUAUAUCUGUUCUUUACCAUAGAUUCCCAAUUGUGGUCCCUCCUAGUUAUUGUUGUUGUUUCUUGGAAGUUUCCUCCAUGUAUAUUUCUUUGUGGACAAGAAAAAGAGAGGGUGGGGUGUUGUUUUUUACUUGGAGGGGUAAGGGUUAGGUGUCUUAUUUUAAUUGAAAGGGUUGUUAUGAUAUUAAAAAGUAUAAAAGUUUAUUAGGGAUUUUGUUGAGAGUUGUCUUUUUUUUUUUUUUGUAUUUUUUUGUGGGAUGUAAUUACAUGGGUGAGGUUAUAUGGUAGGAUAAGGUAAAAAUGGAUAAAAAAAUGCUAUCGGAAAUGGACAAAAUUACGUGUCUACAUCUAGAAAUUGGAUCCAUAAUUUCUUUGUUUUAAUUACUUCUAACACAUUUAUAGAAUAUAAAAUAAAUAGCAAAUAAAUUGAAGUACCAAUACUUAUAGAUACUAUCUUUGAAAUAAAUAUAUCUCAACAAAUUAUUUAGAUAAAU
rnacentral:lncRNA from 1 species